UGGCCAGCAUGCACGAGGAUAUUUCCAACU
rnacentral:piRNA from 1 species